UCCAUUGUCAGGUCAGAGAAGUUUCCCCCCU
rnacentral:piRNA from 1 species